GGAAUAUUGGACAAUGGGCGCAAGCCUGAUCCAGCAAUGCCGCGUGAGUGAUGAAGGCCUUAGGGUUGUAAAGCUCUUUUACCCGUGAUGAUAAUGACAGUAGCGGGAGAAUAAGCCCCGGCUAACUCCGUGCCAGCAGCCGCGGUAAUACGGAGGGGGCUAGCGUUGUUCGGAAUUACUGGGCGUAAAGCGCACGUAGGCGGCUUUGUAAGUUAGAGGUGAAAGCCUGGAGCUCAACUCCAGAACUGCCUUUAAGACUGCAUCGCUUGAAUCCAGGAGAGGUGAGUGGAAUUCCGAGUGUAGAGGUGAAAUUCGUAGAUAUUCGGAAGAACACCAGUGGCGAAGGCGGCUCACUGGACUGGUAUUGACGCUGAGGUGCGAAAGCGUGGGGAGCAAACA
rnacentral:rRNA from 1 species